UACGAAGGGGGCUAGCGUUGCUCGGAAUUACUGGGCGUAAAGGCGCGUAGGCGGAUGUUUAAGUCAGAGGUCGAAAGCCCAGGGCUCAACCUUGGAACUGCCUUUGAUACUGGGCAUCUUGAGUAUGGGAGAGGUGAGUGGAACUCCGAGUGUAGAGGUGAAAUUCGUAGAUAUUCGGAAGAACACCAGUGGCGAAGGCGACUCACUGGCCCAUUACUGACGCUGAGGCGGCGAAAGCGUGGGAGCAAACAGG
rnacentral:rRNA from 1 species